AGCCCUGUGGCUCAGUUGGUAGAGCAUGGUGUUUGCAACGCCAGCGUUGUGGGUUCGAUUCCCACGGGGGGCCA
rfam:Salmo salar isolate Sally breed double haploid chromosome ssa11, whole genome shotgun sequence.